rnacentral:rRNA from 1 species
UACAGAGGUCUCGAGCGUUAGGCGGAAUCACUGGGCUUAAAGCGUGUGUAGGCGGAGUUCUAAGUACCUUGUGAAAUCCCACGGCUUAACCGUGGAACUGCUUGGUAUACUGGUUCUCUUGGGCCACUUAGGGGCUACCGGAACAAACGGUGGAGCGGUGAAAUGCGUAGAUAUCGUUUGGAACGCCAAUGGUGAAAACAGGUAGCUGGGAGUGUGCCGACGCUGAGACACGAAAGCCAGGGGAGCGAACGGG